GAAGCUGCAUCCAAAGGAAAUGCUUCUGGGAUCCUCUCUGCCUCUCACCCUGGAUGAGCCAUUUGCCUGUUUGGAUCUCAGGCACCACAGAAUACCAAGUGGGAAGACACUCCAGCCUGGAGUAAGUUUGUAUCCCCAGAGGACCCCUGUGCCAGAGGAGAUCUCGGAGCAUCUCACCUUCAUUUAUAGGUGAGAAGAUGAAGCUUGGAACAUGGAUGGUGAGACCUGGAGGUAUAGCAGCCAUAUUGUGAUCAUAACGCAACAAGCAUGAGGGGGAAAGCAUAUAUGCUAUCGAUUAGGGCAAAAAAUAAAAAGACACUUGGUGUCAGACAGGAUCUCUGGGAUCUUGGGGCCCCUGAACCAAUCCUGAACUGCCUACCCAGACUUCUUACUAUGUAGGACAAGUAAAGCCACUAUUAUUAGUGUGGUUCUCUGCAAUUCAUAUACAUAUAUAA